ACGGUUAGCUCAGCUGGUAGAGCAUCUGCUUGACGUGCAGGAGGUCAGGGGUUCGAGUCCCUUACCGUC
rnacentral:tRNA from 1 species